rnacentral:rRNA from 1 species
ACGGCUCAGUAACACGUGGAUAACCUACCCUUAGGACAGGGAUAAACCCGGGAAACUGGGUAUAAUACCCGAUAGAUCUCGAAUGCUGGAAUGCAUCGAGAUCGAAAGCUCCGGCGCCUAAGGAUGGAUCUGCGGCCUGUCAGGUAGUAGUGGGUGUAGCGUACCUACUAGCCUACGACGGGUACGGGUUGUGAGAGCAAGAGCCCGGAGAUGGAUUCUGAGACACGAAUCCAGGCCCUACGGGGUGCAGCAGGCGCGAAAACUUUACAAUGCCGGCAACGGCGAUAAGGGGACCUCGAGUGCCAGGUUACAAAUCUGGCUGUCGAGAUGCCUAAAAAGCAUUUCAUAGCAAGGGCCGGGCAAGACCGGUGCCAGCCGCCGCGGUAACACCGGCGGCUCGAGUGGUAACCGUUAUUAUUGGGUCUAAAGGGUCUGUAGCCGGCCGGAUAAGUCUCUUGGGAAAUCUGGCAGCUUAACUGUCAGGCUUUCAGGAGAUACUGUCUGGCUCGAGGCCGGGAGAGGUGAGAGGUACUUCAGGGGUAGGGGUGAAAUCUUGUAAUCCUUGAAGGACCACCAGUGGCGAAGGCGUCUCACCAGAACGGACCUGACGGCAAGGGACGAAAGCUAGGGGCACGAACCGGAUUAGAUACCCGGGUAGUCCUAGCCGUAAACGAUACUCGCUAGGUGUCGGCCGCGGUGCGACCGUUGUCGGUGCCGUAGGGAAGCCGUGAAGCGAGCCACCUGGGAAGUACGGCCGCAAGGCUGAAACUUAAAGGAAUUGGCGGGGGAGCAC